rnacentral:rRNA from 1 species
CGCAUGGCACAGCAGGGAAAACCACGGUGGUACAGGAUGGGCCCGCGUCUGAUUAGUUAGUUGGCAGGGUAGCGGCCUACCAAGACAACGAUCAGUAGCCGGCUUGAGAGAGUGGACGGCCACAUUGGGACUGAGACACGGCCCAGACUCCUGCGGGAGGCAGCAGUGGGGAAUAUUGCACAAUGGGGGGAACCCUGAUGCAGCAAUGCCGCGUGGGUGAAGAAGCACUCCGGUGCGUAAAGCCCUGUCAGCAGGGAAGAAAAUGACAGUACCUGGACAAGAAGCCCCGGCUAACUACGUGCCAGCAGCCGCGGUAAUACGUAGGGGGCAAGCGUUAUCCGGAUUUACUGGGUGUAAAGGGAGCGCAGGCGGCGUGGCAAGUCAGAUGUGAAAACCCGGGGCCCAACCCCGGGAGUGCAUUUGAAACUGCCAUGCUGGAGUGCCGGAGAGGUAAGCGGGAUUCCUAGUGUAGCGGUGAAAUGCGUAGAUAUUAGGAGGAACACCAGUGGCGGAGGCGGCUUACUGGACGGUAACUGACGCUGAGGCUCGAAAGCGUGGGGAGCAAACAGGAUUAGAUACCCUGGUAGUCCACGCCGUAAACGACGAAUAGGAGGUACAGGGG